CUUGAACCCUGUACGUAGACCAGUUGCCAAACCCAGACAACUUGCCAAACUCCCCCUCACUCCUGGAAGGUCUACUUGUGAUGUGGAAUCACCCUCUAGUGUGACCUGGAUGCCUAUUCAGGAGAGUAGCUGGACCCGACUUCUACAUGGUUUUCUUUUGAUGCAGAUCCUGGCCUUGAACACUGUACGUAGUCCAGUUGCCAAACCUCCCUCACUCCUGGAAGACCUACUUGUGAUGUGGAAUCACCCUCUGUUGUGACCUGGAUGCCUAUUCAGGUUUACUUUCGGUGCUGAUCCUGGCCUUGAACCCUGUAUGUAGACCACUUGCCAAACCUCCCUCACUCCUGGAAGACCUACUUGUGACGUGGAAUCACCCUCUGUUA